GAUGAAGAACGCAGCGAAAUGCGAUAAGUAAUGUGAAUUGCAGAAUUCAGUGAAUCAUCGAAUCUUUGAACGCACAUUGCGCCCGCCAGUAUUCUGGCGGGCAUGCCUGUCCGAGCGUCAUUUCAACCAUCAAGCCCCGGGCUUGUGUUGGGGACCUGCGUCCGACGCAGGCCCUGAAAACCAGUGGCGGGCUCGCUGUCCACACCGAGCGUAGUAACUAACCUCGCUAUGGAGUGGCGCGGGCGCCUGCCGUAAAACCCCCAAUUUCACAAGGUUGACCUCGGAUCAGGUAGGAAUACCCGCUGAACUUAAGCAUAUCAAUAAGCGGAAGA
rnacentral:misc_RNA from 1 species